rnacentral:rRNA from 1 species
AUUGAACGCUGGCGGCAGGCCUAACACAUGCAAGUCGAACGAGUGGCGGACGGGUGAGUAAUGUCUGGGAAACUGCCUGAUGGAGGGGGAUAACUACUGGAAACGGUAGCUAAUACCGCAUACCAUCGGAUGUGCCCAGAUGGGAUUAGGUAGGUGGUGGGGUAAAGGCUCACCAAGGCGACGAUCCCUAGCUGGUCUGAGAGGAUGACCAGCCACACGGGGACUGAGACACGGUCCAGACUCCUACGGGAGGCAGCAGUGGGGAAUAUUGCGCAAUGGGGGCAAGCCUGAUGCAGCCAUGCCGCGUGUAUGAAGAAGGCCUUCGGGUUGUAAAGUACUUUCAGCGGGGAGGCGUUAACCGCAGAAGAAGCACCGGCUAACUCCGUGCCAGCAGCCGCGGUAAUAC